rnacentral:rRNA from 1 species
GUUAGCGGCGGAGGGGGRRUUSACACGUGUGUAACCUGCCCGUAAGACUGGCGCAACCCCGGGAAACCGGGGCUAAUACCGGAUGGUUGUUUGAACCGCAAGGUUCAAACAUAAAAGGUGGCUUCGUGGGGAACUUACAGAUGCAUCAUCGGCGCUAUAGCUAGUUGGUGAGGCGUGCUCUCACCAAGGCAACGAUGCGUAGCCAACCUGAGAGGGUGAUCCGCCACACUGGGACUGAGACACGGCCCAGACUCCUACGGGAGGCAGCAGUAGGGAAUCUUCCGCAAUGGACGAAAGUCUGACGGAGCAACGCCGUGUGAGUGAUGAAGGUUUUCGGAUCGUAAAGCUCUGUUGUUAGGGAAGAACAAGUACCGUUCGAAUAGGGCGGUACCUUGACGGUACCUAACCAGAAAGCCACGGCUAACUACGUGCCAGCAGCCGCGGUAAUACGUAGGUGGCAAGCGUUGUCCGGAAUUAUUGGGCGUAAAGGGCUCGCAGGCGGUUUCUUAAGUCUGAUGUGAAAGCCCCCGGCUCAACCGGGGAGGGUCAUUGGAAACUGGGGAACUUGAGUGCAGAAGAGGAGAGUGGAAUUCCACGUGUAGCGGUGAAAUGCGUAGAGAUGUGGAGGAACACCAGUGGCGAAGGCGACUCUCUGGUCUGUAACUGACGCUGAGGAGCGAAAGCGUGGGGAGCGAACAGGAUUAGAUACCCUGGUAGUCCACGCCGUAAACGAUGUGUGCUAAGUGUUAGGGGGUUUCCGCCCC